GUCCGGAGACAUGUGUUAUUCCUGUGGGAACUACGGACACUGGGCUAGAGAUUGCCGAGCCAAGGACAAAAAAGCUGGAUUCAAUUUCAGUAGAGGGGCCAUUUAAUCAGUAUGGACCACACAGUGACAUUUUUCAGAGAACGUUUGUCACUGGACACCUGGUCAUUGGACUAAAGCUACAGAGCUGUUACAGUAUUUUGUCACUGGACGCAUUUAAUUGUAUUACUUUUGGUCACUGGACCUCAGUUCAUAUGGUUCCUUUUUGGUCACUGGACCUUUUUUGUGUGUUCACCGCUGGGUGAUAGCUGGUCACUGGGCCAUAAUUGGCCAUUAAAGAUUGUAUGAUAUUCGCUUGAAACUGAUGUCAGUAUUUGUAGCAUUACACAUGGACAUUUAUUUUGCUUGUUUAUAAGUUAAUAAAUAUUUGAAGAUGGUCACCGCACCUGACAGUCUCUAUAAAG